rnacentral:SRP_RNA from 1 species
GUCACGUGGCCUAGGGGUCACGUGACCUCGACCUUUAGGGGGAAAUUUUCCGCUAGAUUUAGCGGGAAACUUUUUCCGCUAAAUUUAGCGGGGAACAUUUUCCGCUAAAUCUAGCGGGGAAAAUUUUCCGCUAAAUUUAGCGGGGAAAGUUUUCCGCUAAAUCUAGCGGGGAAAAUUUUCCGCUAAGUU